UACGCCAGCGAUGCGCGGGUCUGCGGCCAGCCGGCGGCGCGCGGGCGUUCGGCACGAGCGGGCACGUCUAGGUGUCCUCCUCCGCGGCCGGCGGCGGCGGGACCCCAGACCCGCAGCACACCGUUUCCUGCCUCGAUGGGACGCGGAAGCUGGACAAGGACAUUCUGGAGCACGAUUGGAAGCCGCAGGCAUCGGAGGCAAUUUGGUGUGCGGCCAGCUCAAGCUCUUGCUCACAGCAGCGUUGAGCGGACCGAGGAGAAUGCUAACACUUGCAUCUCGCUAUUCCUGGGAUUCCUCCGCAAGCACCUUCUCUGUGACUUUGCCGGCACAUAGUGAUACACAGCUGCUCUUAUUUGUGCAAGAACCAAACAGGGUGCGUGCAGACUGCAUAUGUGACCUUAAGGUAGAGAGCAUUGGCAAUUAGUGACCAAGAUGGUGAGCAAACAAUCUGAUCAACAGCUUUGAAGAAUUUAUUUUCAGUUAUCUCACUAAAUCACCUCUUCAAUCAUCAACUUUCAAUGUGCAGGUCAUAUUUGAGCUCCUUCUAUAUUCAGUUGUUGCCUUUUUGUUUUGCCAUAUUCUUUUCCUUCUAAUGAAAAUUUUCCAUAUCCUUAACUUACAAGGUAUAUGAACUGAUGAUGAAGAUGGUGUGAGGUACUGGGCGCCUAUUAUUCUAACUUUUUCACUCUCUUUGUGCCCUGAGGCUCCAACAUCAUGAUCAAAUGAUGAUAAUAUUUUUCUAAGACCCCUAAACCUUGUUCUUUGUCUUGUUAUGUUAACAAGUCAUGGUGGAUAUGCUCCGAUGAUCAAAUAUCUUGUGAGGCACUAGGCAUGGUCCUUUUUUUCUCUUUACUGGACUUCCUACCAUGCCGUGAUGCUCCAAGUUUACGAUCAUAUGAUGACUCAUAAAAUUUCUGAAACAUGAUGUUCUACCUGUUCCUUGUCUCAAUCUAAACUUUCAUGUACCAUUUAUGCCUAUGAUGAAAAUGUACAAAUGUACAUCUAAGUUGUUGCCUUUUUGUUCUGCCAUCUUCUUUUCCGUGUCAUAGUUUUGUUCCAGAUCCUUACCUUACAAGGUAUUACCUUACUUCUCACUCUCUUUGUGCCCUUAGGCGCCGAUUAUUUACUUGAGCUUUCUGAUAUACCAGACUUUUAUAUGCUGCAAAUUUAUUUGCAUAAGUGAUAUAUAUAAUGGUUUAUUCUUGAACUGAUUGAUAAAUCUGAUGGUUCAUUCUUGAACUGACUAAAAUAUAUGAUCAGAUUUUUGCUUUAGUUGCUGUAUUGGGAUCCUGGUUUGAUAGACAUGGUUGGUUAGCUAUCCCUCUUAAUUUUAUAAUCAUGUGUGCCACCACUCAAAAUUGUAGGGACUCGAUAAUCAAGACAUUUAGAAUUACUGCUGUCAAAUGCAUCUCAGACGUAUGUUUUUUCUUCACUUUAUGAACUCUCAUACGCCCAUGUGGCUAUGUAUUUAACUUUUUCCAUUUUGUGAGAAUAAAAGUGUAUCCCAUUCUAUGUUUGAUUACAUCUAGAUAGCAAACUUGCGAUUUAAUACUCAAAUUGCUUAUUUGCAGGAUGCUGCAUAUAUGAAAUCAUUGCUCUCAGGCCUGCAUUUAAAGCUAUUUCGAUAUGCAUCGAGGCUAGAUGAUUAUCUGCUCCGUUCCGGAUGUGUAUGCCAUUUACACUGGUAAAUUAGGAGUUCAUACAAAUAUAUUUAUAGAGACACCUGCUGCAUGGCAUAUAUGAUGAAACCUUGUCGAUUUAAACCUUGUCAAUUGAUAGACACCUGCUGCUAUAGGUAGAGAAGAAAGAGAAAAAAAAAUAAAGGGUGUUGCUGCUAAAUGCUUAGAUUUUGUUUAAAAAGAAGGUGCAUGGUACAUUUAUGUACAUUGAAUUUGCAUGGAUCAAGAUUUUGAGUUCUUUUGGGUUUUGCAGUCGGGGGGUUUUACUUUUGUUGAUGUCACCUAGAUUUCAGAUUAGUUUUUAGCUUAACUUGAAUGUGGAUAUUUUAAGAUCUUCGAUUUUGAUAUGAUUUGCUUA